rnacentral:rRNA from 1 species
CAGUCGCCGCGGUAAUACGUAGGGUGCAAGCGUUAAUCGGAAUUACUGGGCGUAAAGCGUGCGCAGGCGGUUAUAUAAGACAGAUGUGAAAUCCCCGGGCUCAACCUGGGAACUGCAUUUGUGACUGUAUAGCUAGAGUACGGCAGAGGGGGAUGGAAUUCCGCGUGUAGCAGCGAAAUGCGUAGAUAUGCGGAGGAACACCGAUGGCGAAGGCAAUCCCCUGGGCCUGUACUGACGCUCAUGCACGAAAGCGUGGGGAGCAAACAGGAUUAGAUACCCGUGUAGUCCCUGUCUCUUAUAC